AGCAGCCGCGGUAAUUCCAGCUCCAAUAGCGUAUAUUAAAGUUGUUGCAGUUAAAAAGCUCGUAGUUGAACUUCAGGCCUGUCCAGACGGUCCGCCUUAAUUGGUGUGUACUGUCCUUGGGUGGGUCCUACCUUCUGGCGAAGCGGCAUGGCCUUAAUUGGUUGUGUCGGGGAACCAGGACUUUUACUGUGAAAAAAUUAGAGUGUUCAAAGCAGGCAAAUAUGCUCGAAUACAUUAGCAUGGAAUAAUGGAAUAGGACGAUGGUUCUAUUUUGUUGGUUCUAGGACCGUUGUA
rnacentral:rRNA from 1 species